rnacentral:tRNA from 1 species
GGUGAGAUGGCCGAGUGGUCAAAGGCGCUGCGUUCAGGUCGCAGUCUCUCUGGAGGCGUGGGUUCGAACCCCACUCUCAUCA